rnacentral:lncRNA from 1 species
CCAAAUUCACAUGCAUUCAGACACAAUCUUCAAAGAACACUAAUAGAUUAAAUUCAAACAGAAUAAGUGGCAACUUAAGAACCUAACACUUUCGAGCAUUCAACUCCUCGUCAAGGCUUCCGAUUCUUCUUGUCUAGCUCCAGAUGUUCGACAAAGCACCAGUGAACCCUGAUCGAAACCUCGGCUGUUGAAUCUCAAGCUCCAAUCGUACAGAAACCCUCCGAUAUGCACACUCAGCUCUCCUAUUAUUCCCGGUGGAAAGUGCAACUUGGGAAGUCGAUGCAGCUUGUAUUUAUUGCUGCCUGAGCAUGCCUCUUGCUGAUGAAGAACACAAGUGACGAAGCUUCCUUCUUUCCUUGCUUAGCUCCCGGUUUCUAGUAUCAGUAGAGACACCUUCUUUGAUUACUCGUGUCGGCAGCAACGACUAGCUCCAGUGAUGAUGCUAGGGGCUGAAGAAUGAUGUCGGCAUCAACAACAGCCUACCCAAGUCCUGAUUGCCGACUUG